rnacentral:rRNA from 1 species
CGGCAAAAGCUCAAAUUUGAAAUCUGGCUUCGAUAGAGGCCCGAGUUGUAAUUUGUAGAGGGUGCUUUGGUGUUGGAGGUGGUUUAAGUUCCUUGGAACAGGACGUCGCAGAGGGUGAGAAUCCCGUACGUGGCUGCCCACCAUCACCGUGUAAAGCCCCUUCGAC